AACGAACGCUGGCGGCAGGCUUAACACAUGCAAGUCGAGCGCCCCGCAAGGGGAGCGGCAGACGGGUGAGUAACGCGUGGGAACAUACCCUUUCCUGCGGAAUAGCUCUGGGAAACUGGAAUUAAUACCGCAUACGCCCUACGGGGGAAAGAUUUAUCGGGGAAGGAUUGGCCCGCGUUGGAUUAGCUAGUUGGUGGGGUAAAGGCCUACCAAGGCGACGAUCCAUAGCUGGUCUGAGAGGAUGAUCAGCCACAUUGGGACUGAGACACGGCCCAAACUCCUACGGGAGGCAGCAGUGGGGAAUAUUGGACAAUGGGCGCAAGCCUGAUCCAGCCAUGCCGCGUGAGUGAUGAAGGCCUUAGGGUUGUAAAGCUCUUUCACCGGAGAAGAUAAUGACGGUAUCCGGAGAAGAAGCCCCGGCUAACUUCGUGCCAGCCGCCGCAGUAA
rnacentral:rRNA from 1 species